CCCGCUUGGGCCUCCCAAAGUGCUGGGAUUACAGGCAUGAGCCAGUGCACCCGGCUGUAUUUCUAGAACAGCAGGAACAAAGGCAUGGAAUUAAGGGAGGUGAGUGAUCUUGGUCAGAAUCAUACAGUAGGACAAUAUGAGAUGAAAUUUGAGGGAGGCUCAAGUGGAUUAGCUUUUUAUUUCCUAAAGAUGAAGGGGCCAAGAUCAGGUUCCGGACUUGAGGAAUGGAAAAUAUUUGGAAUAAGCCCUCAAAGUUAGGGCCAAAAGAAUCCAAGUGAAGGCGAGUUUAGUUUUUGCGGUCUUAGCCUGUUUCUCUAAUGCGGGCGCACUACAUUAGAAAAAAGUGGGAGGGCCCUUUUGACUCUCUGACCAGCACCACAGCAGUUGGCAAGAACAAGCGCCUUACGAAAGGUGGCAAAAAGGGAGCCAAGAAAAAAGUGGUUGAUCCAUUUUCUAAGAAAGAUUGGUAUGAUGUGAAAGCACCUGCUAUGUCCAAUAUAAGAAAUAUUGGAAAGGCACUCGUCACCAGGACCCAAGGAACCAAAAUUGCAUCUGAUGGCCUCAAGCGUCGUGUGUUUGAAGUGAGUCUUGCUGAUUUGCAGAAUGAUGAAGUUGCAUUUAGAAAAUUCACGCUGAUUACUGAAGAUGUUCAGGACAAAAACUGCCUGACUAACUUCCAUGGCAUGGAUCUUACCCGUGACAAAAUGUAUUCCAUGGUCAAAAAGUGGCAGACAAUGAUUGAAGCUCAUGUUGAUGUCAAGACUACCAAUGGUUACUUGCUUCAUCUGUUCUGUGUUGGUUUUACUAAAAAACGCAACAAUCAGAUACGGAAGACCUCUUGUGCUCAGCAUCAACAGGUCCGCCAAAUCCGGAAGAAGAUGAUGGAAUUCAUGACCCGAGAGGUGCAGACAAAUGACUUGAAAGAAGUGGUCAAUAAAUCGAUUCCAGACAGCACUGGAAAAGACAUAGAAAAGGCUUGCCAAUCUAUUUAUCCUCUCCAUGAUGUCUUUGUUAGAAAAGUACAAAUGCUGAAGAAGCCCAAGUUUGAAUUGGGAAAGCUCAUGGAGCUUCAUGGUGAAGGCAGGAGUUCUGGAAAAGCCACUGGGGACGAGACAGGUGCUAAAGUCGAAUGAGCUGAUGGAUAUGAACCACCACUCCAAGAAUCUGUUUAAAGUUCAGACUUCAAAUAGUGUCAAAUAAAAAGUGCUAUUUGUGGGAAAAAAAAGAAAAAAAGAAAAAAGUGGGAGGGGUAGUCCAGAUAUGAAGGAAGGAUAAAGGGUGAAGGAAUCAAGAAUACAAAUGAGAAGGUCUUUAAAAUUGCCAAACACAGAUUCCAGGAUGUACAGGAAGACAAAGGAGACAGGUUAAUUAGGGAGUGGGAUAGGACUCAGGGACCAAAGCCUCCUAAGGGAUGCCCAAAGGUAGUUUCCGGGAAGGGACUCUUGAUUUGGUUGAUUGGAAGAACCAAACAACAAUUAGCCCUAGGCUUCCUCCAAGGAAAUUCCCUAAAGAAAAGUCUUGCUAUUCAGAGUGUUAUUAAUUCCCAGGGUCUUCGUUGCCACUAAUAGAUCUUUUUGGAGGGCCUGAUAUCAGAUAUUUCCCUAUUCUUAGGAGGAGAUGGCUGUUCAGGGAAGAACGCCAGAUGUUAAUAGAAGAAACAGAAGGAUAUUAAACAUUCCAUUAAGCUGGUGAUUGGAAAAGAAAAAAAAGUUAAACAUUGCCACAAAAUCCUUUGGUUUCAGUGUUGAAACUAAAUAAAACUCUAAGGAGGCAGCAAGAUGUUAAAUGGGGCAAGAGGGUCAUAGACCAGUUUUCAUUCUUAGGUAAUGUUCAUCUAUUUGAAAUAUCCACACUUUGGGCAUUGCGGUAAAUUCCAGAAUGGCACUUGUCUUGGUCUUUAAAGUUGGUUGAAUACAGUACUUGAGGUAUUGGUUGGAUUUUUGAAAGGCAGGCUCAUUUAUUGAAAGGCUGGCAAUGAUAAAUAGGCUCACAAUUCAAAAUGGAGGGAUACAGACUUACAUUGCUUGCCCAUGGUUUUGUGAUGAUAAAUCUGUGUGGGACUAUGAAGCUAUUAGAAAUGUUCAGUUUAAGUGUUUGGCAUAUUGAUAUGCUGACAGAAAAAAUGGUAUGCCAAUUUUUAUAUAAUGAUCUAUGCUCUGUAGAGUGGCAUACAUGGAAAAGAUUUGUCAGAAGUAAGCCAAUAACCAUGAUCACCUCUGGGUGGGGGAAUUACAGGUGUCCCCCUCCAGGUACCCUCCCUUCCCCCAAUUCCUUACACUUCUUAGUCCUCACAUUAUCUUGAUAAGUUUGGGGAAAAAAUAAAUAAAACCCCUGAGGUUUUUAAGAAUCAGAAACAAUUUGAGCUCAAAUCAAUUAGUGGUCACCCCUGUAUACCUUUUAAGUAAACCCCUCUCCCUGUAGUUCACAGUAGUGGCUUCUGGCUUACAGGGUAUCACAGAAAACUUCAACUUAACUUAGUUUAAACAGUAGAAACACGAGACUAUGAGAAUUUUUCAGUUGACCAAAAUUUUUUCAGCUGACUUGAAAAAUCCAGCCACCUGCUAAAGGUUGGAAAGACAUGACUGGAAUACUGAGGUGGACUCCUAACUCAGGUUGCAUACAGGAAAGCAGACUACAGUGGCCCAGGGAUAAGCAGCAAUUUUCCAGGACUAAGUAAUUUCUGGAGCUUGUACAUUUGGAACACAUUUACAACAAUCUGUCAUGGGACUCAAUCUAAAGGGGCUAAAUUACUACUUUUAUUUAUCCUCUGGGAGGGAAUGUGAGAAAUAAUGGAUCAAGUCACAUGAUACCAAUUCAACAGCUAUGCCAAAUCCUUAAUGUUCUAGAAUUGGUUUCUGAAAUCCUAUGGUUUCAUUGGUUUUAGAAAGCUUUGAUUUGAAGAAUCUCUUGGUGUACAAGUCAAUUCAGCUGUUGGUUUUGAACAUGCAAAUUUGUUCCAAUAUAAUAUAUUAUUUGCUUAGGGAGCAAUUCAUUCUGCAAGAAAAUGAACGCAGAAAACUGCACCUCUUGAACCAAGCUGCAGGGAAACACAUAAAGCACCCACACACACCUCGAAUAGACACUUUCACAGUGACAUUGAACUACACCCAUCCAUAUUUCCUUUCCCUCUGAUUCCAGAUAGCCCACCUUCCAGAUAACCCACCUUCUUUUCCCUCUAUUCCAGAUAGCCCUUACUUUCACAGGAAGUCAAAUCACAAACUGCAACCCUUCUGAGGCCCACUUCCAUAAGCACACUGAGUCUUCCUCAAGGUAAAGUGCCAUAUUUGUUUGUAGUGUUUAUAUAUUUCUUAAAUGUUUAUGUGUAAACCCACUGUUUUUAAAUGUGUCACUGGUGAAGUUUUAAAGUGCUAUGCCCUAAUACCAUUUUUCAUAUAAGCCCUGUGGUUUGUAUUUGUGGAACUUUUCAUAGUGUAGUGAUUUUUAGAAACUAAAAUGGAAUUCAUUUUCCUAAAAGGUUGUAUAGGCUGGCCUUUUUCCUUUCUAUAUGAAAUGUUUGCUUAAUAUUUUCUUGUGCAAUGUAAUUUGUCUCUGCAAAACAGGAGUAAAUUCUAGUUAUUCAAAAAUUUUGGAGAUGAGUCCCCACAUAUGUAUUACCCACUCCCAAACAAAUUAGGGGAUAAAAUAAAUAUAUUAGGUUGGCUAUACAAUGUUUGUUUGUUUGUUUGUUUGUUUGGA